UAGUGUUUGCACAUUUUUACACUUAUUCGUUUGACCUUUUAUUCUUGUUUUAGCUAUCAUAACGUGCAUGUUUUAUGUCUGAGUAUUUAUUGGUACUAAAACUCAGGAUUUUGAGUCUACUUUUGAAAAACGACAAGAAACAGCCAGCUUCAUCACACACUAUCACAGUACAAUUUUUCUAAAGGCAGUUCAACCUUGAGCUGGUUACUUCAAUCUUUGAUCAUCCUGGAAUGUUGGAUCCUCAAGCUGCCUAGGACAAGAGUGGUUCCUGGAAGGAUAAGGACUGUGUGCGGAGAAGUGAUGGCUGAGGCUGCUGGGGACUUUCCUGGACCAUGGCUGAUGUGUGACAGGGGGCUCAGAGGAAUCUACUAUGUCACGCUUAACAAAACUCAACCAAAUUCAAUUAACUACUCCACUGUGAGUUAGCCAACAAAAUCUCCACUUUCACUUUGACUGCAGGAUAAGGCAUGUGGUAAAAGAGCAAAUCCAAACUCACUGGACCGUUUGAUUGAUCCAAGUGCUUCUGGGGGACUAAAUUUAAUAGAUACAUGGAUAAAUAAAUGCAUACAUGAAUAAAUGUUUAUUGAUGG